CACGUAGGGCGCAAGCGUUGUCCGGAAUUAUUGGGCGUAAAGAGCUCGUAGGCGGUCUGUUGCGUCCGCUGUGAAAUCUCGGGGCUUAACCCCGAGCCUGCAGUGGAUACGGGCAGACUAGAGGUAGGUAGGGGAGAAUGGAAUUCCCGGUGUAGCGGUGAAAUGCGCAGAUAUCGGGAGGAACACCGGUGGCGAAGGCGGGUCUCUGGACAGUUCCUGACGCUGAGGCACGAAGGCCAGGGGAGCAAACGGG
rnacentral:rRNA from 1 species